rnacentral:rRNA from 1 species
UACGUAGGGACCAAGCGUUGUUCGGAUUUACUGGGCGUAAAGGGCGCGUAGGCGGCUUAACAAGUCACUUGUGAAAUCUCCGGGCUUAACUCGGAACGGCCAAGUGAAACUGUCAAGCUAGAGUGCAGAAGGGGCAAUCGGAAUUCUUGGUGUAGCGGUGAAAUGCGUAGAUAUCAAGAGGAACACCUGAGGUGAAGACGGGUUGCUGGGCUGACACUGACGCUGAGGCGCGGAAAAGCCCAGGGGAGCAAACGGG